GUUCGUGUUUACAAUUUGAGGAAGAAGGCAGCAAUCGUAACAUCCAGCGUGCCUCCUCCUAAUUGCCUCUCUGACACGUGCCACAGUCAGGUUUGUGACGCAGGAAGGUUUCUGCUGCAGUACAGCUUUAGAAAAAGGAAGACCCACAGGAGAAAUCAUUUGAAUGUCACAGUGGGAUCAGCAACAGAGCAGGCAAAACUGGAGUGGCCCGUGAGUCUUGUUUUCCUAUGGGAUCAUAAAUACGUGACAUGGUGAAAGCAUGAUAACCUGCAGCAUCUGCGCUGAAUGCAGCUGGCUGCAGAGGGAUUCUGCAGAAGUUCCACCAACCCACUGCAUCUCUGUUUAUGCCAACAAUGUCUCUGUAUCAUUUUUUUAAUACAGAAUUGCAUCUUUUUACAUUCCCAAAGGCAAGAAAGCACUUUAAUGAGGACAUAAAAAUGUUCUGGCAGUACCUCUGUGCAUGUGUUGGAGGGAGGAAGAGUUUUUUAAGGCUUAUCAAAUGUUUGAAGGGAAAGACCAAAUAACUCUUUCUGCAAAUAUGACUAACUGUGAGAAAACUUUGCAGAGUGUGGUUCCCAAUUUUGAUUUUGCUUAUUUGUGCUUAUGUAAAUCUGAAAUAUACACACUGAAGUUAUCGAAGCUCCACUGACUUAAGCGAUUGCAGAAUUUACAUCAAAUUGUCCCCAGAGCUGUUUGUGCUGCUGUAAGAGGUUACAGUUCACAAUGGUAAGUGAGCUGAUAUGUUUAUGGGACAUUCUUCUGUGGAUAGUGUGAGAUACAGAGACUGUCAAACUAAUUCUCUUGAAUGGAUUUUUCUAUAGCAACACUGAAAAUAGCUCAUUUCCCUUUAGUUGUACUUAGGAAGCUUAGAGAUGUAGGAAAUUUACUUGUAACUAAAAAAAAAAAACACCUUUCUUUCAUUGGUGUUUAGGUAAUAUUCUUGUGAUCUUUUUUACAGUCUUCAAUUAGCAUAAAGCUGACAAUUUUUCAGGCCAUUUCUGUUGCUAUAAUAGGCCUUAUUAAGAGGCCCCAUUAUAGCAAAACUAGCCUUUUCUAGUUCUGGUCCAGGGAGCAGAAACAAUAUUUUAUUUGAAUUGCUCUAUCUCUAGGGAAAUAAUAACUUGCUCCUCCACCCUUUGAACUUGUUAGGGGUUUGUUGCAACUUUUUGGUAAACUAGCAAUGUUCCACACAAAGCAUUAGACUUACUGUAUCUAACAUUAGAUCGGAUGUGUUCGAUCAGAGAGUUUUCCUUAGGCAAUAGCUAAACACAAAGCUAAACCAAAUCAAAGCAAGAAUCGAAACAUUUUAUGGAAAGCCCUUAGUCUAAUUUCUCCCUUGCAUUCUCCCACCCUUCCUGUAAUUAAUAGAUUUAAUUAAUUUGUUGUUUUAAUAAGUCUUCCCUCAUCCAUCCUUCAUCUGAAAGCAGCAUUACUGCAUUGACAAAUAUGUAUUUCCAUAAAAAAAUAAAGCCUUAU